rnacentral:lncRNA from 1 species
AUUUUUUUUGUUUUGUGUAUGGUCUCCUUAAAGUUUUAUUUUGAGGAGGAUUAAGGGGGAUGGGGCAAAUGGGCCCGGGCAUUCCCUUUUUGAUAAAAUUUUGUUUGAUUAAUCUAUUUAGGGAUCAAAUCACUGAAGCAUGAUUUGUACGGGUCCCUUUUAAAAAAAUUCUGGAUUUGCCACAGGCAUACAGAAAUUAAGGAUGUUUUAUAAUUUUAAGAAAUUCUAAUAUAUAUCAAUUAAAAAAUAUAUAUAUAUAUAUAUUGUAUGCAUUAGUGAUAAAUUUAAUAAUCGUGUCACCUAAGGAUAUUUGCCUGUAGAUGUUUUAUGUCCCACCUUUGGGCAUUAUGCUUUCUAAUGAGUCAUGAGUAUGAGUCUGUUCCUCCAUCUGUCUGUCCGGCUUCAAGUUUUUGAUGAAGUUGAAGUCCAAUCAACUUGAAACUUAGUACAUGUUCCCUAUGAUAUGAUCUUUCUUAUUUUAUUAUCCAAUUAGAGUUUUGCCCCCAAUUUCAUGGUCCUCUAAACAUAUAAAAAUGAUAGUGCUAGUGGGUCAUCUGUUCACUAUGGACACAUUAUUGUUAUUGAUUUAAAUGCAAAGUAUUUAAGAAUAAGUUUCUGAAUUUCACCAGUUGAUAAUUCCCUACAAUUUAAAAUUCAAGAAUUUUGUACAAGUAUGUACCACUUGAAAGUAUAUUUGACAUGGAUGAGAGUUUAGAUGGGGUUUACAAAUUAGAGAAUAACAGGCAAAAUGUACAGAAUAAAGGUAAAAAAAAAAUAAUAGGGAAAAGAAAGAAAACUAAAACUAAAUAAAUAUUAGAAAAUUUAACAGGGUGCUGAAAUGAAAUAUAAAAAUAGAGAUUAAAGAAAAACAAUUUAAUAUACAUGUCUUAAAGAAUAAAGAUACAUGUAUACAGAACCCCUAUCUAGACCUUAAUAAAUCAAGCCAUAUAAACAUAAACAUAAAUGACAAAUACUCUGAUAAUUGUGAUAAUAGUUGUCAGG